UUCGCAGCAUCAUCUCUAACUUGCAGCAUUUGCUGGCUAUACAUGGUUGCUACGGGAUUGCUAGUAGCAGAAGUUAACGUGAGCACUAUGUGUGAACUUGGCUCCGGUGGCGUAUCGAUUGUUUCCAUGGCUGAGAAAACUUU